rnacentral:rRNA from 1 species
GCAUAGUACAUGCAAGUCAGAGCGAACAGAAGGGAGCUUGCUCCCGGAUGUUAGCGGCGGACGGGUGAGUAACACGUGGGUAACCUGCCUGUAAGACUGGGAUAACUCCGGGAAACCGGAGCUAAUACCGGAUAGUUCCUUGAACCGCAUGGUUCAAGGAUGAAAGACGGUUUCGGCUGUCACUUACAGAUGGACCCGCGGCGCAUUAGCUAGUUGGUGGGGUAAUGGCUCACCAAGGCGACGAUGCGUAGCCGACCUGAGAGGGUGAUCGGCCACACUGGGACUGAGACACGGCCCAGACUCCUACGGGAGGCAGCAGUAGGGAAUCUUCCGCAAUGGACGAAAGUCUGACGGAGCAACGCCGCGUGAGUGAUGAAGGUUUUCGGAUCGUAAAGCUCUGUUGUUAGGGAAGAACAAGUGCGAGAGUAACUGCUCGCACCUUGACGGUACCUAACCAGAAAGCCACGGCUAACUACGUGCCAGCAGCCGCGGUAAUACGUAGGUGGCAAGCGUUGUCCGGAAUUAUUGGGCGUAAAGGGCUCGCAGGCGGUUUCUUAAGUCUGAUGUGAAAGCCCCCGGCUCAACCGGGGAGGGUCAUUGGAAACUGGGAAACUUGAGUGCAGAAGAGGAGAGUGGAAUUCCACGUGUAGCGGUGAAAUGCGUAGAGAUGUGGAGGAACACCAGUGGCGAAGGCGACUCUCUGGUCUGUAACUGACGCUGAGGAGCGAAAGCGUGGGGAGCGAACAGGAUUAGAUACCCUGGUAGUCCACGCCGUAAACGAUGAGUGCUAAGUGGUUAGGGGGUUUCCGCCCCUUAGUGCUGCAGCUAACGCAUUAAGCACUCCGCCUGGGGAGUACGGUCGCAAGACUGAAACUCAAAGGAAUUGACGGGGGCCGCACAGCGGUGGAACAUGUGGUUUAAUUCGAAGCAACGCGAAGAACCUUACCAGGUCUUGACAUCCUCUGACACCCUAGA